rnacentral:rRNA from 1 species
GACGAACGCUGGCGGCAGGCCUAACACAUGCAAGUCGAACGAGUGGCGGACGGGUGAGUAAUGUCUGGGAAACUGCCCGAUGGAGGGGGAUAACUACUGGAAACGGUAGCUAAUACCGCAUACCAUCGGAUGUUCCCAGAUGGGAUUAGCUAGUAGGUCGGGUAACGGCUCACAUAGGCGACGAUGCCUAGCUGGUCUGAGAGGAUGACCAGCCACACUGGAACUGAGACACGGUCCAGACUCCUACGGGAGGCAGCAGUGGGGAAUAUUGCACAAUGGGCGCAAGCCUGACGCAGCCAUGCCGCGUGUAUGAAGAAGGCCUUCGGGUCGUAAAGCACUUUCAGCGAGGAGGCGUUACCCGCACAGGAAGCAACGGCUAACUCCGUGCCAGCAGCCGCGGUAAUAC